rnacentral:rRNA from 1 species
GACGAACCGUGCUAACGUUGUUCGGAAUCACUGGGCUUAAAGGGCGCGUAGGCGGCCCACCAAGUCAGGGGUGAAAUCUUUCGGCUUAACCGGAAAAGUGCCUUUGAUACUGGUGGGCUCGAGCGAGGUAGGGGCAGAUGGAACUUCGGGUGGAGCGGUGAAAUGUGUAGAUAUCCGAAGGAACGCCGGUGGCGAAAGCGAUCUGCUGGACCUCUUCUGACGCUGAGGCGCGAAAGCCAGGGGAGCAAACGGG